UACGUAGGGUGCGAGCGUUAAUCGGAAUUACUGGGCGUAAAGCGUGCGCAGGCGGUUUUGUAAGACCGAUGUGAAAUCCCCGGGCUUAACCUGGGAACUGCAUUGGUGACUGCAAGGCUUGAGUGUGUCAGAGGGAGGUGGAAUUCCGCGUGUAGCAGUGAAAUGCGUAGAUAUGCGGAGGAACACCGAUGGCGAAGGCAGCCUCCUGGGAUAACACUGACGCUCAUGCACGAAAGCGUGGGGAGCAAACAGG
rnacentral:rRNA from 1 species